UUGCAGCGCUGGCCGUACUCCCGUUUUGUCUCGGGUGUAGAGGAUCCAGCGCUGGUAAUCAAGUAUAGACACUUACCAGCGCUUUUCUUGACCUCCGUGGAAUAAGCAGGUAUCCCAGCAUACCUGAGGAAGCCUCUGAUAAUCAAGCUGGUCUCCUUCCCCGGCUUGCUCUCGCGUUCCCCGAACCCCGAGCAAGCAGGUCUCCUUCCCUGAGGUUUGCUGGGUGGUUCCGGGAACGCGAGAGCAAACCGCGGCGAAGCUGGUCUCCUUUCCCGGUUUGCUCUCUCGUUCCCCGAACCCCCGAGCAAGCAGGUCUCCUUCCCUGCGGUUUGCAGGGUGGUUCGGGGAACGCGAGAGCAAACCGCGGCGAAGCUGGUCUCCUUUCCCGGUUUGCUCUCUCGUUCCCCGAACCCCCGAGCAAGCAGGUCUCCUUCCCUGCGGUUUGCAGGGUGGUUCGGGGAACGCGAGAGCAAACCGCGGCGAAGCUGGUCUCCUUUCCCGGUUUGCUCUCGCGUUCCCCGAACCCCCCUUGAAGCCGCCCAACAGCGCUGCAGUGUGGCCACAUCUAACACCACUUGCAGCGCUGGUUGCUGUAAGUGUGGCCACUCUGCAGCGCUGGCCCUAUACAGCUGUACUAAUACAGCUGUAACAACCAGCGCUGCAAAUUUUUAGAUGUAGACAUGGC